AUGUGGUGGGCCCUAGCCCUGCUUCUAGCUUUCCUGUCUCUUGCCAGUCAGAUAUCUACUAACUUGGAAGCGAAAAUAAAGUCAGGCACCAGGCAGAUGGGGUCAUCUGCUGUAAUCACCUGUGAUCUUCCUGUAGAAAAUGCCUUCUACAUCCACUGGUACCUACGCCAGGAGGGGAAGGCCCCACAGCAUCUUCUGUACUAUGACAUCUGCAACUCCAGGGAUAUGUUGGAAUCAGGAGUCAGUCAGGAAAGCAUGAUACUUAUGGAAGUAGAAGGAUAAGCUGGAAAUUUAUACCUCCAAAACUAAAUGAAAAUGCCUCUGGGGUCUAUUACUGUGCCACCUAGGACAGG